CUCAGAGACACACGCUUUUGCAACCCUAAAGAGGCCAUUUUUUGGCAGAGUGCUGUAAGCUGCACCUUCCUUCCUUUAGUCAAAUAUGGCUAAAAAGGACCAAGAAUGCUGAAUGGAGGAAUCAUAGGCAAGCCUUCCUUUCAGUGGGAUCAGAUUCACUUUGAAUUACCGAACCCACCAAAGAAUUACAUCCUAACCUUGCGUGCAAUGCUGAUGAGAAGGCAUUUAAAAGCAAACAACACUGCAAUAUAAACAGCACCAUCUCAGAUUCCUCACGUAGCUAUGAAGAUGAAACUAUUGAAGCUGAUCCUCCUCCCCACCCCCGGCAAGACUGAAGUGAUACCGUGAG